rfam:Thermobrachium celere DSM 8682 genomic scaffold, scaffold33
AAAGUGCGAUGAGGCAAGAGGUUGCCGUUAUCGGGGAAUUCUUGCGGAGUAUGUCCUGAUCAAGAAUCGGGCGACGA